GAACCCAACAGGGGAUUGCCCCAGUAACGGCGAGUGAAGCGGCAGGAGCUCAAAUUUGAAAUCUCGGUCCCCCGGCCUCCGAGUUGUAAUUUGGAGAGGCUCCUUCGGGGGGGAGCGCUGGCCCAUGUUCCUUGGAACAGGACGUCGCAGAGGGUGAGAAUCCCGUGCCAGGCCGGCUGCCUCCUCCCGCGUGAAGGGCCUUCGACGAGUCGAGUUGUUUGGGAAUGCAGCUCCAAGUGGGUGGUAAAUUUCAUCUAAAGCUAAAUACCGGCGGGAGACCGAUAGCGCACAAGUAGAGUGAUCGAAAGAUGAAAAGCACUUUGAAAAUAGAGUCAAAAAGUACGUGAAAUUGUUGAAAGGGAAGCGCUUGAGACCAGACUCAGACCCAGGCAAACACCGCGCCCCCAGGGGCCGUGCAAUUGCCCGGUGCUGGGCCAGCAUCAGUUGGCGUGGCGGGACAAGGGCGCGGGAAAUGUGGCUCCCCUCGGGGAGUGUUAUCAGGCCCGCGCCGGAUGCCGCCGACGCCGACUGAGGACCGCGCCUCGGCUAGGAUGCUGGCUUAAUGGCCUUCAGCGACCCGUCUUGAAACACGGACCAAGGAGUCUAACAUCUAUGCGAGUGUUUGGGCGCCAAACCCUUGCGCGGAAUGAAAGUGAGCGGAGGUGGGAACCCCUAGCCGGGCGCACCAUCGACCGAUCCUGAUGUCUUCGGAUGGAUUUGAGUAGGAGCAUAGCUGUUGGGACCCGAAAGAUGGUGAACUAUGCCUGAAUAGGGUGAAGCCAGAGGAAACUCUGGUGGAGGCUCGCAGCGGUUCUGACGUGCAAAUCGAUCGUCAAAUUUGGGUAUAGGGGCGAAAGACUAAUCGAACCAUCUAGUAGCUGGUUCCUGCCGAG
rnacentral:rRNA from 1 species